CAAGCCGGCCAUAGCGUCAGGGUGCGACCUAAUCCCAUUCCGAACUUAGAAGUCAAACCUGAUAGCGCUAUUGUGUUACUAACAUGCGAGAGCUGUUGGGAAGCAAUAGUGCUGGCAUUU
rfam:Nitrosopumilus sp. BACL13 MAG-120910-bin56 contig01174_1_120910-bin56, whole genome shotgun sequence.